rnacentral:rRNA from 1 species
AACGCGAAGAACCUUACCUGGCCUUGACAUGUCCGGAAUCCUGCAGAGAUGCGGGAGUGCCUUCGGGAAUCGGAACACAGGUGCUGCAUGGCUGUCGUCAGCUCGUGUCGUGAGAUGUUGGGUUAAGUCCCGCAACGAGCGCAACCCUUGUCCUUAGUUGCCAGCGAGUAAUGUCGGGAACUCUAAGGAGACUGCCGGUGACAAACCGGAGGAAGGUGGGGAUGACGUCAAGUCCUCAUGGCCCUUACGGCCAGGGCUACACACGUACUACAAUGGUCGGUACAGAGGGUUGCGAAGCCGCGAGGUGGAGCCAAUCCCAGAAAGCCGAUCCCAGUCCGGAUCGAAGUCUGCAACUCGACUUCGUGAAGUCGGAAUCGCUAGUAAUCGCGGAUCAGCUAUGCCGCGGUGAAUACGUUCCCGGGCCUUGUA